AGCUCCGAUAGCGUAUAUUAAAGUUGUUGCAGUUAAAAAGCUCGUAGUUGAACUUCUACGUACGGCAGCACGCCUUUUGGUUUGAGUUGCUGUAUGUAUCCCCUUUGAGUUCGUAGCAUGCACUUAGUUGAGCAGUUACAUACUCAAGGAAUUUACUUUGAAAAAUUAGAGUGUUUCAAGCAGGCGAAUUGCUGGAAUACAUUAGCAUGGAAUAAUAGAACACGACCUCUUUGUCAUUUUAUUGGUACUAUGGUGAGAGGUAAUGAUUAACAGGGACAGUUGGGGGCAUUAGUAUGGCAUUGUCAGAGGUGAAAUUCAUUGAUUAAUGCUAGACUAACUUAUGCGAAAGCAUUUGCCA
rnacentral:rRNA from 1 species